UGCAAGUCGAACGGCAGCACGGGGGCAACCCUGGUGGCGAGUGGCGAACGGGUGAGUAAUAUAUCGGAACGUGCCCAGUCGUGGGGGAUAACGUAGCGAAAGUUACGCUAAUACCGCAUACGAUCUACGGAUGAAAGCGGGGGAUCGCAAGACCUCGCGCGAUUGGAGCGGCCGAUAUCAGAUUAGGUAGUUGGUGAGGUAAAGGCUCACCAAGCCAACGAUCUGUAGCUGGUCUGAGAGGACGACCAGCCACACUGGGACUGAGACACGGCCCAGACUCCUACGGGAGGCAGCAGUGGGGAAUUUUGGACAAUGGGCGCAAGCCUGAUCCAGCCAUUCCGCGUGCAGGACGAAGGCCUUCGGGUUGUAAACUGCUUUUGUACGGAACGAAAAAGCCUUGGCUAAUACCCAGGGUCCGUGACGGUACCGUAAGAAUAAGCACCGGCUAACUACGUGCCAGCAGCCGCGGUAAUACGUAGAGUGCGAGCGUUAAUCGGAAUUACUGGGCGUAAAGCGUGCGCAGGCGGUUAUAUAAGACAGAUGUGAAAUCCCCGGGCUCAACCUGGGAACUGCAUUUGUGACUGUAUAGCUAGAGUGCGGCAGAGGGGGAUGGAAUUCCGCGUGUAGCAGUGAAAUGCGUAGAUAUGCGGAGGAACACCGAUGGCGAAGGCAAUCCUUCUGGGCUCUGCACUGACGCUCA
rnacentral:rRNA from 1 species